GCAAAUCUUAAUGCACAGAUCAGAUUUUUUUUACUAUAUUCAUUUUUUUUCCCUGCUCUUUUUAUAUUUACAUAAGACACGAUUCAUAUCUGAUAACUGUUACAAUAAUUGCCAAAACUACAGUUUAUAUUAGUGUCAUGAUUUGCACUUGAGUUUUGUAUCGACAGGGCCACUGCCAAUUUAGGCAUGUUUUAAUUAUGACACUUAAACAAUUGUAUAUGUACAUCGAUAAAAGUUUUUGCAAUCAUGGAAACAUAAGUGAAUUGCAGACAGCAUUCUUGUUUUACGAAUGUAAAAUGGCUGGAGUAGUGAUGUCACUAGCUAGAUUAAUUUUCAUUUGACCUCCCCCACAGAAAGACACAGCACAUCAUUAUAUCGUUGGCUCCGCCCACUGGUGUUCAGUCUAAAGUAGUAGUUGUUGACAAUCAUAAAGUUGUUAUAACAGUAAGAUUGUGAUGUCAGACAAACAUUGUGCUGUUGCUGGCUGUGGGAAAUUAGUGUCUUUGUAAGGGUUGCAAAUAAUUUGAAAAUAUUUAUGUUUCAAAAUAUUGCCCCCCUACCAUGAACUAAACUGGACUGUCGCAGAGACCAAGUGUAGUAGGGUACGGAGCGCUCACACUAGUCACACCAAACUUUGGAGGUAAAACAUACUUUGGUAUGAUACAGUAUGCAUAGUGUUUCUGAAUUGAUGUCAGAUGCAAAGCAGAAGUUUAUUUUCUUCCAGUUUGGCUUCAUUGUGGAAAAAUGCUGGAAACUAAAAUGCAGAACAUGAUGCACGAUGGGAUGCACAAAGUGAUAUUUGGACGCAGCCUCAGUCUGUCAGAUCAAAGAGACAUACAGAAUUCAUAGAGCAGUGGGACUCCAUGAACAGAGUUGAGAACCACUGGUGUAACUCAUUAUGCUUACCUGACUCAUGCAGAAUUCUGGCCUGGUGUUUGGUCCACCCUUUCUCUGGCUUGUGUCUCCGUCUCCAUCAUCAUUAUACUCUUGUCAGUGUUAUAGUAUUGUCGUCUGCGUACCAGGACUUUGUUUCUCAGCUGUCCCUUCUCCUUCAAGCUACAUUUUUGUCAAGCUGCAACAAGUUGGAAUACAUAAUUAUUAACGUUUAAGGAUUUUGAUGUAUGAAAUAUGUAACAAAAGCAAAAAAUGUACAGACAUUCUAUUAAGAAAUUACCUUUUUGUUGUUUGUUUACUGACCUUUCAACCAUAUUGCAUUUAAAAUUGAUCAUCAUACCUUUGGUCUACUGUUAACAGACUACUGUAGAAAACUUUGAAUAAAGUAAAAAAAAAGAGAAAAAAUUAUAAAUGCUGAAUGUGUCUCAUCUUAAAUACAUUGUUGUUGUUUUUUUCAUUGAAUUUGGAUGUUUUGAUGAUUUAAGGAAAAUUUACGUAGCAUAUAUAUUGAUGUUUUAAUUCAGAGUUUGUUAAUGACACUUAAUCAUUAACAAACAUUUAAAAAGGUUUAUUACAAUACUAAUUGAUAAUAUUAAAUUAAUGUAAUAAUCUUGUUUUGUUACACCCUAAAUCACUGAGCGCACAAACGCUACCCCAGUUACAAGCAUGGAUGGUUGACUUCAUGCAGACAUGCAAGUACCGCGAGAGUGAUUCAAAAGCCCACGAAACAGUGUAAUCACGCGGUACUGUGACGUCAUACUGGUUAACGCUAAGCCACGUGAAGCGCCCGGACACAAGGGCUGCACUAAUCUUUGGGCUGGAUUAGCCUGUGGCUUACGUGUCUCGUCGCAGAACGAUUUAUUUCUCUUUUUCACCUCGAUCUUUGGCCUCUUGUGAUUUAACAAAACCAACAUGUGAAGUUACAACGCUGACGAAGGAGUUUAAUCAGUAACGUUAGAGUGUGUCCUGGUAAACGUGUGCUUGGAAACAUGCAGAUUACAGUAUUUACAGAGCCGACCUUGAGGCUAUUUUUUUUGCAUGACAUCCACUGAUGGAUAAUCUGUUUACCUAAAAACAGCACUUCAGGAGAAACCUGCCUGUGAUCUGCUAAGAUGCACAGAUUCAACUCUGGCCCAUUGUCAUCCCAACACCUUAUCUGCCAUCAGUUUCGUUUAGUGUCGGUCUAUUGCAAAAGUUCUUAUAAACUUUAAAUGAGACUUUGUGUUAAGCAGGGGUUUCCAAACUUUUAAUUUCACAACAUAUUAAGCCCAGGAUACACAGCAGGAUUUUUUGCAAUCCAAUAGACCUUAUCACACUGUGUGACAAGAAUUGUUUAAACUUUAGCAGUAGACUGUCGAUGAAGACACCUAUUGCAUCUGAGGCUGCGACAUCCGUCAUCAGCAUGCGCUAGUGGUAAACAAAUACAGGUAUGCAGGUCGUAGAAGCAAACACGUUGUUGAUGUGCGUUGAUCAUGCUGAACUUCUUACACUGUCAUAAAACUAUCGUAGGUGUCUUUGGUCCCAGGACUGGGAAAAGAGGUCUUUAAACCUCUCACACUGUAUGAGAUAGGACCACCAAUUAAGAGCCACGAUCACAGAAAUCUCCACGAUUGUUUCACGAUUGGUAAUCUUUCAUCUGGGACAGCCAAAAAUCGUGCCGUGUAUUAUGGGCUUUAGACAUGUGUAAUCUUAUAGUAUAUCAAAACCAUUGCUAAUAAUUAAUUGGACAAACCAUCACUACAAUGCAACACUCGCUAUCUUACGGUGCGACCCACAAGUGGGUCUUCACCCACAGCUUAAAAACCCUGAGUAUGAGUAAGAGUAUGUUGUAUUGUAAUUAAAGUCACAUCUAAGUGUUAUGGAGCAGUUUGUCAUUAUAUUCACAGUAUUACAUGGUUCUUUCAGCAGUUUCUACGUUACAAUGCUCUUAAAGUGUCCUGAUCAGCUUUGGGUCUUGUGAAGUAAUGUAAUGAGAAUGUGAUCAAUAGCUUUGCAGUAUUUUUGGUUAAACAUUUUAUUCAAAUUUGGUAAACAAUCUAGUCAAUAUAAUUCAUGCUGUGAUGCUGGAUUAAACCUGGUCAAAUGAA